rnacentral:rRNA from 1 species
GCUGGCGGCGUGCCUAAUACAUGCAAGUCGAGCGGACCUGAUGGAGUGCUUGCACUCCUGAUGGUUAGCGGCGGACGGGUGAGUAACACGUAGGCAACCUGCCCGUAAGACCGGGAUAACUACCGGAAACGGUAGCUAAUACCGGAUAAUCAAGUCUCUCGCAUGGGAGGCUUGGGAAAGGCGG